rnacentral:tRNA from 1 species
GCCGGCGUAGCUCAGAGGUAGAGCAGUUGAUUCGUAAUCAUCAGGUCGAGGGUUCGAAUCCCCCCGCCGGCUCCA